ACUGCUCAAAGCUUAUACAAUAAUUCUCUUUUCCAGGUGGCUGUCAGCACCUGCAGUGUUGCUGAAACGUCCCCAAAAGAAACUGCCUUUGCCCGAGACAGUAUGAAUCUGCAGUUUUUGGUGACAAGCUUGCAUUGAUUUUGUUUGUGCUGUUCCUCUGUUUUCUGAAUGAGAAGCCAGUAGACAGCACCAGACACACCAAAGAAAAACCUUCCUUGGAGUUCUCUCACAUCAGGACAAAAUCUGCAGGUCUGUAUGUACUGUUUUGCUAUAGAAAAACUAUUUUUCAAGAGCCCCUGGAUGAUAUUUCCAGUCACUUUUUUGCCACAUCAUUUUGUCUCCAGCUGCCAGAAGAAAUUUGAAAUGCAUCGUAGUCACUUCUCAAACUGAUAACAUGUGAGAAGUCCAGAAGAAAUUGUUUAUACAGUUUCUGACAUAGUAUGUCUUGUAAUGCUGCUCUGUGUCAUGUUCCAUAGUUUUAUGUCCUAAUCUGACAUUAUGAGAUUACAUAAUGCAUUCAAUCUUUAAACAAGCAUUCCUUUGAAAUGUUUGACAGAGUUAUGGCACUUCAGAUAUUAUUUCUUAUUAUGGACAGAUAGGUCAAAUCUGCAAACAAUUUAAUGGCCAUACAUUGCUACCCUUGUCAUAUCAAUCCUCCUAGCAAGUGUGCUAUCAGCAGAAGAAACAUUUAGAAGCCUAAUCCUUCAAGGUGCUAAACAUUCUGGUGCUCUGAACUCCAAGCAGAGCUGAGGGCUCUCAGCACCUCACUGGAGAAGGGUUCCAAUUAACCUACUUUUACAGUAAUCCUGAAUGCAGGGGCUUCCUGCACAUGUGUUAGGAUUCAAGCUGCCCUUCAGAUUUGCUCCACUGAAACCUGAGAAGAAGCUAUGCAACCAUGGACUAAAAUGGCUCCAUAUGCUUCUUGACUCCAGUAUGUGCUGAGAAUUUGUUUUUUUCUUUCUCUCAGCUGAGAAUGCUGCUCUCAGUUCUGCAGAGCUUCAGGGAAAUGUGGUAUUCUCGUUAACACUUUAACCCUGGUCCCAAAUAAAUUACCUCAUGCCACCA
rnacentral:lncRNA from 1 species